rnacentral:rRNA from 1 species
UACGAAGGGGGCUAGCGUUGUUCGGAUUUACUGGGCGUAAAGAGCUCGUAGGCGGUUUGUCGCGUCUGCUGUGAAAUCCCGAGGCUCAACCUCGGGUCUGCAGUGGGUACGGGCAGACUAGAGUGUGGUAGGGGAGAUUGGAAUUCCUGGUGUAGCGGUGGAAUGCGCAGAUAUCAGGAGGAACACCGAUGGCGAAGGCAGCCAUCUGGACCGACACUGACGCUGAGGCGCGAAAGCGUGGGGAGCAAACAGG